rnacentral:rRNA from 1 species
GAGUUUGAUCCUGGCUCAGGCUGAACGCUGGCGGCGUGCUUAACACAUGCAAGUCGAGCGAUGAAGUUUCCUUCGGGAAACGGAUUAGCGGCGGACGGGUGAGUAACACGUGGGUAACCUGCCUCAUAGAGUGGAAUAGCCUUCCGAAAGGAAGAUUAAUACCGCAUAAUGUUGAAAGAUGGCAUCAUUAUUCAACCAAAGGAGCAAUCCGCUAUGAGAUGGACCCGCGGCGCAUUAGCUAGUUGGUGGGGUAACGGCCUACCAAGGCGACGAUGCGUAGCCGACCUGAGAGGGUGAUCGGCCACAUUGGGACUGAGACACGGCCCAGACUCCUACGGGAGGCAGCAGUGGGGAAUAUUGCACAAUGGGGGAAACCCUGAUGCAGCAACGCCGCGUGAGUGAUGAAGGUUUUCGGAUCGUAAAGCUCUGUCUUUGGGGAAGAUAAUGACGGUACCCAAGGAGGAAGCCACGGCUAACUACGUGCCAACAGCCGCGGUAAUACGUAGGUGGCGAGCGUUAUCCGGAUUUACUGGGCGUAAAGGGAGCGUAGGCGGAUGAUUAAGUGGGAUGUGAAAUACCCGGGCUCAACUUGGGUGCUGCAUUCCAAACUGGUUAUCUAGAGUGCAGGAGAGGAGAGUGGAAUUCCUAGUGUAGCGGUGAAAUGCGUAGA